GACAGAGGGGGCAAGCGUUGCUCGGAAUUACUGGGCGUAAAGGGCGCGUAGGCGGUUUGGCAAGUCGGUCGUGAAAUCCCUCGGCUCAACCGAGGAACGUCGAUCGAUACUGCUGUUCUUGAGGAUUGCAGAGGAGACUGGAAUUCCCGGUGUAGCGGUGAAAUGUGUAGAGAUCGGGAGGAACACCGGUGGCGAAGGCGGGUCUCUGGGCAAUUCCUGACGCUGAGGCGCGAAAGCGUGGGGAGCAAACGGG
rnacentral:rRNA from 1 species